rnacentral:rRNA from 1 species
UACGGAGGAUCCAAGCGUUGUCCGGAUUUAUUGGGUUUAAAGGGUGCGUAGGUGGAUAAUUAAGUCAGGGGUGAAAGCCUGCAGCUCAACUGUAGAACUGCCCUUGAAACUGAUUAUCUUGAAUGUGGUUGAGGUAGGCGGAAUGUGUCAUGUAGCGGUGAAAUGCUUAGAUAUGAUACAGAACACCAAUUGCGAAGGCAGCUUACUAAGCCAUUAUUGACACUGAGGCACGAAAGCAUGGGGAGCAAACAGGAUUAGAAACCCGCGUAGUCC